AUUGAACGCUGGCGGCAGGCUUAACACAUGCAAGUCGAGCGGAGAUGAGGUGCUUGCACCCUAUCUUAGCGGCGGACGGGUGAGUAAUGCUUAGGAAUCUGCCUAUUAGUGGGGGACAACAUUCCGAAAGGAAUGCUAAUACCGCAUACGUCCUACGAGAGAAAGCAGGGGAUCUUCGGACCUUGCGCUAAUAGAUGAACCUAAGUCGGAUUAGCUAGUUGGUGGGGUAAAGGCCUACCAAGGCGACGAUCUGUAGCGGGUCUGGGAGGAUGAUCCGCCACACUGGGACUGAGACACGGCCCAGACUCCUACGGGAGGCAGCAGUGGGGAAUAUUGGACAAUGGGGGGAACCCUGAUCCAGCCAUGCCGCGUGUGUGAAGAAGGCCUUAUGGUUGUAAAGCACUUUAAGCGAGGAGGAGGCUACUGAGACUAAUACUCUUGGAUAGUGGACGUUACUCGCAGAAUAAGCACCGGCUAACUCUGUGCCAGCCGCCGCAGUAAUAC
rnacentral:rRNA from 1 species